CAAGAACCACUUUAACUGAUACAGGAAGUCAACAAAACCACAUCAUACAAUCCAGUGACACUCCCAUCUGCAGCUCUUUAUAUCCAUGUAUCUAUUAGAGACUCUGGCAGUUUGCGUCUAACAGAACAUGGAUAUUAUCAUUAAACAAGGCCUCCUCAGAUUAUCAGUCUUUGUGCUGUGGACUGCAGGUCUAAUUGAUGGGAGUGAUGUUACCCAGAAUGAGACUCUGUGGAAAAACAAGGGCGAAAGUGCAACAAUAGACUGCAGACACACGAAGGGUGGAUUAUACUUCCAGAUGUACUGGUACAGACAGCUACCAGGAGAAGGAAUGAAACUAAUUGUGUUCACAUCAAUCAACAGCAAAGACUUUGGCAAUUUCAGCACAGAGAAAUUCUCAGCCACCAAACCUGACGCUGCCAGUGGGACAUUCACAGUGAACAAUCUGGAGCCAGAAGAUAAAGGCUUGUACUUCUGUGCUGUGAGCCAACACAGUGAUACAGAUGCACUCAAUAGCUGAACAAAAACCUCAGUGCACUGUUAGUAUUACUGUUUCAGUUGUCUCAUGUACUGUAGGGGGACCUCGAGGACCUCAAAUCCUCCCAGUUACACUUUGAUCAAAUGCCACAUAAUAUAUGACACUCCCACCUGCAGCUCUUCAUAUCUCUGUAGCUACACUGACAGUAUUUACUGUAAUGUACACAGGUUUCACUGAGGUCACCCAGAACUCCACACUGUAGAAAGACAAGAGUGGUACUGCAACAAUACACUGCAGCCACACAAAGGGGGACUUUCACCAAUAUCUUAGGAAAAGCUUCAGAAAUAUUUUAAGCUUCAUAACAAGUUUUCAAAUAUAAAACUAGCUGUCUUUCUAACUAAAAUAUAUAAACCAUAAUUAUUCAUGAGAAAGAGGUAAUUAUGGAAACAUAUUAGUAAGGCUUCAAAUGACAGUUAUUUUCAUUGUCAAAAUAUGAUGAUUCUAUUUUAUUACACAUCUUUACAUUGCUUGUUUUUUACAGUCAAGUCCAACACCAAAAGUAUUCAUGUGUAAAACAUAGUGAAACAGAUAUGUUAGAUAUUUAAGCAUCACAUUUAAUGCUCGACAUUAACUGGACAAACUAAUCUUAACUCAAGGUCACCUUACUGGACCUCCACUACAUUUACCAAAGACCAUCAGAUAUGGUUAAAGCUCCAGAAAGAGCUAGCAAGUGGACCUUGAGUUAAUAUUAUUUUGACAAACUUCUCCUCCUCAGCCUAUCAUUACUCAGAUCUUUACACACAGAGCCAGUGAUGUGUAAGAGGGAGUUAAAAUGAGUCGGAUGCUCAAUGACACCACCCACCUAAUGACUUGGGAGGGUUUAAGCCACAAGAAGCUUGGAAUAGUCAGUAUAACUGUUUCACUCAUUGCAAAUACAAACAGAAAAACACAAAAUGAUCCUCUUAUUCAUUUGCAUUACUUUUAACUCUAUUCUGGUUUCAGGUAAUGUCAUCAAAAAGUGUUUAUAAUAUCAUUUUAAUUCACAUUUUCAACAAAAUGUGUUCAAGUCAAAAUUAUUUGAAACAUUUAAAAUGGUCUUUUCCAAAUUUUCAACAUAAUGUG
rnacentral:lncRNA from 1 species